GAGAAGGUAUGACAAGCUGACAGGAAGGAGAAUGAGGGUGUCUUUUUUUCCAAACCUUCAGGUAUCCCAGUUGAUCCUACUUAACAUUUUUUUCCUGUGCGGAUUUUAUGCACCGAUGGCAAGCAAUGUGUAAGGAAGCAGGAAAUUUCGUUUCUGUUUGGGCUUGGCCGGGACCCCUGGGCAGCCAGCUUGUUGUUUUAUUUUAAGAAAGCAGCUGUAUUUUAGCUGGGGAGUAUGUUUUGCAGGGAGAUUUUUCAAGUGCCAUCGUCCAGACUGGUUUAGUCCAGAGUGAAAGCAGGAGGGAGCUAGAUGACUCAAAAGACCAAACCCCGUCUCCCGCACAAUCUGAACUGUGAACGCCACGGGGUGACCAGCCCCCAAGACAUCUUUGGCCCCUCGACGAGGGCGCUGAGACCUGGAACCUCGGCGUGUCGCUGGGAUUCCGGACUGAUCAGGUUACCGGGGAAAGCCACACAGGUCCGGGGCUGCUGCAGCCUCUGAAGGAUUCCUCCUCCCUCAGAAAGCUCUCGGCUUGAGCCCGGAAAGAACACUACCACAUUUUUCUUGGCUUUUUAUAGGGUGUUGAUCCAAGGAUCUGUUUUUACAUUUGAAUGCAGCAGUCAACUGGAGCGUAAUAGAUUGCAGACCUUUGUGAGAAAUCACUGUGAAGGCUUCGGCAGGGAACUGUGGGCUGCUGCGGAGAACUGCACUGUCAGCAGGUUAGGAACUGGGCACUUGUCCAUGUUUUCCUUAUUUUUAAAGGAGUCAUUGACCUUCCACAGGCCUGUAUCAAAAUGGGGCGAACAAAAUGCUGCCAGGCACGGCAGGACUAGAAGAGAGCUCUUUCAGGGGCUGCAAAGGGCCUCGUUUGGUCUAUUUACUGUCAUGGAAAUUCUGAGUGUGACUUAGAGGCCUUCCUGGCUCUGAGCCAGGUGGAAAGGUUUGGAAAGAAAAAAAAAAAAAAAAAAAAAGCCGAGGCUCCACUGGGGAGGGAGCAGGGUGGGAAAACAGCUGCCCUGGCACAGCCACCCGGGGGUGCGAGAGCCCCAGUGCCUAUUGUGCAAAGGCACGUUCAGAAGUCCCUGCAAAUUCGGGGGAACCCGGACCGCCAGUAUCGCUGCUCCAGGUGGCCAGGCCUGCAAGGCAUGCCGGGAACGUGCUCAAAGUUGUUCUUCCCCUGUUGCCCACCCAACAUGCCAUUCGUCCUUUUAUUCCUUCCUUCAUUCCGCAAACAGUCCUUCAGAGCCUACUGUGUUUGGGACACCGAGAAAAUAGGGCUGACAAUCUCCGCCCGCUAUUCUGUGAGAAGACCUUCUAGAAAAAAAAAAAAAAAAAAAAAAAAAACCAUUAUGGCAAGAAACCGGACCGGAGCUGCUAUCCAUGGGAGGACUGGGAAGAGACCUGCCUCGGACAUCCUCCACAUCUGCCAUCUCCAGGGGACCUCCAUUCAUUUCAGCAGUCACCACAGGAAUCCCUACUAACCCUGUCCUGAGCAGAACUUCCUCCCUCCAGAUAUAGGCCUCUGGGAUUGAGGAGACUCCCUGGGACCUAGAAAGUACGUCUGUUCCUCCCAAGAAUUCUUCACCAACCACGGCACACUUCUACCCAUGACCGAAUACCGUAACUCACCCGCUCCAGGCAUGUGCCAAGGUUCUCAAAGCAGCGUCUUUCCCAUCUCACCAUUUGUGCCUACCUUAGCUGUUUGGCCAGUUACCCAUUUGGAUUUGGCUCUGCUUUGGGUUCACUCUUUUGGAUUUGAAAUGAACGAAUUGGCCUGCAGACUGAUACGUGAUUGAAACUCAGCUUUGAGGGACAACUGACCCAGCUUGGCUUUGAAAGCCUGAUCUUUUCCUACAACUUUUGGUGAAUAGUGCUCCCACCUUGCUCCCCCCGCCAGCCCAGCCCUUCUCUUCCCCACCUCCCUUUCCCAAGCCCAGACCAGGGGCGGGGUAGAAGGGGUGGCAAGAUUAGACAGUCUUCCGACAGACUCUCUCAGGAACACCUCAUGUCUGAUGUAGGUAAACUACUAGCUGAGAACUAUCUGGUCUCAAAUGUAGAUGGCUUUGGAUUCAGCACAACCUCAUUGCCUAAAGAUGUAAUUAAUGCUAUUUAAGGAGACAUGCUACUCGGGCCCUUGGUUGUGAAACCUUCUGCUCCAGGGUAAAAUGAUCGAUGACUUCCUACUAAAAUUUCCUGUGGUCUUUA